UACGUAGGUGGCAAGCGUUGUCCGGAUUUACUGGGCGUAAAGAGCGCGCAGGCGGUCGUUCAAGUCGAGUGUGAAAGCCCCCGGCUCAACUGGGGAGGGUCACUCGAUACUGAUCGACUUGAAGGCAGGAGAGGGAAGCGGAAUUCCCGGUGUAGUGGUGAAAUGCGUAGAUAUCGGGAGGAACACCAGCGGCGAAGGCGGUUUCCUGGCCUGUUCUUGACGCUGAGGCGCGAAAGCUAGGGGAGCAAACGGG
rnacentral:rRNA from 1 species